rnacentral:tRNA from 1 species
GGGCGCUUAGCUCAGUUGGUAGAGCGUCUGCCUUACAAGCAGACUGUCGGCGGUUCGAUCCCGACAGCGCCCACCA